GAAAAUGCAAUGGUGACGAUAAAACAUUUACAAGGAUGUACCGACACACCUUAACUUGUUAACUGCCGUGGCUACUGAUGGCCACAGCAGGUAGCUCUGCUGCACCAUUGGCAGUGUUGCGGCAGUCACUAUGUUCAUGGAAAUGAUGGUCAGAGAGGGCUCUAUUUAGAAAAUUUCAGAUUUGCAACCACUUGCAGACUUGAAGCAUUUUGAAAGAUGAACAAAAUUAAACUAGAAAAACUUAGGAGUCAUGCUGCAUAUUGGAAGGACAAGAGAAAUUAAGAGCUGAAGUGGUGUGAAUGUACAGACAAGGAAAUCUGAGAUAACUGGUUUUACAGCAGUUCAUGAAAUGACAUGGAAAAAAUUCUUAAUUUUUGAGUCAACUACUACAUAGUGUUAGUUACUAGACUAAACUUCAGAGUAAAUAUUUGUAAUAAAAUUGAUUUUGUAAUUAGAAAGUAAAUUAUGGGAUUCUGGAAUUAAUUGUCAAUGUAAUACUUUCAGUAAAAUUUCAUACAGGACACAUUUGACAAAGA